GUGUCAGCAGCCGCGGUAAUACAGAGGUCUCAAGCGUUGUUCGGAUUCAUUGGGCGUAAAGGGUGCGUAGGUGGCGGGGCAAGUCUGGUGUGAAAUCCCGGGGCUCAACCCUGGAACUGCACUGGAUACUGCUUUGCUAGAGUACUGGAGAGGGAACUGGAAUUUACGGUGUAGCAGUGAAAUGCGUAGAUAUCGUAAGGAAGACCAGUGGCGAAGGCGAGUUCCUGGACAGUUACUGACACUGAGGCACGAAGGCCAGGGGAGCAAACGGGAUUAGAUACCCCAGUAGUCC
rnacentral:rRNA from 1 species